UCAAGCGACUUAAGGGCAUUUGGUGAAUGCCUUGGCGCUGAGAGGCGAUGAAGGACGUGAUACGCUGCGAUAAGGCGUGGGGAGCUGCGAAUAAGCUUUGAUCCACGCAUUUCCGAAUGGGGAAACCCACAGCUUCGGCUGUAUCUUGCACUGAAUACAUAGGUGUAAGAGGCGAACCCGGGGAACUGAAACAUCUAAGUACCCGGAGGAAAGGACAUCAACCGAGACUCUGCUAGUAGCGGCGAGCGAACGCGGACCAGGCCUGUGCUGUGUAUGAUUAAACCGGAAGUGUCUGGGAAGGCACGCCAUAGAGGGUGAUAGCCCCGUAUGGGUAGAAAUCGUAUGCAGACUUGAGUAGGACGGGACACGUGAAAUCCUGUUCGAACAUGGGAGGACCACCUUCCAAGCCUAAGUACUCCUCAGCGACCGAUAGUGAACCAGUACCGUGAGGGAAAGGUGAAAAGCACCCCGACAAGGGGAGUGAAAUAGUACCUGAAACCGAAUGCCUACAAACAGUGGGAGCCUGCAAUGGUGACCACGUACCUUUUGUAUAAUGGGUCAGCGACUUAAUUUAGCGAGCAAGCUUAAACCGAUAGGUGUAUGCGCAGGGAAACCGAGUCUUAAUAGGGCGUCUUAGUUCGUUGGAUUAGACCCGAAACCAGUCGAUCUAGCCAUGAGCAGGCUGAAGGUGCAGUAACAUGCACUGGAGGGCCGAACCCACGUCCGUUGAAAAGGCCGGGGAUGACUUGUGGCUAGGGGUGAAAGGCCAAUCAAGGCUGGAAAUAGCUGGUUCUCCGCGAAAGCUAUUUAGGUAGCGCCUCGCGUGAAUACUCCAGGGGGUAGAGCACUGGAUGGGCUAGGGGUCCAUAACGGAUUACCAAACCUAACCAAACUCCGAAUACCUGGAAGUAAUGCGCGGGAGACACACGGCGGGUGCUAACGUCCGUCGUGGAGAGGGAAACAACCCUGACCGUCAGUUAAGGUCCCCAAGUCUUGGCUAAGUGGGAAAGGAUGUGAGGAUCCCAAAACAACCAGGAGGUUGGCUUAGAAGCAGCCAUCCUUUAAAGAAAGCGUAACAGCUCACUGGUCUAAAUAAGGGUCUUUGCGCCGAAAAUGUAACGGGGCUAAAGCCAAGCACCGAAACUACGGGUGCAUAGCAAUAUGCGCGGUAGCGGAGCGUUCUGUAAGUCUGCGAAGGGUGAUCUGUGAGGACACCUGGAGAUAUCAGAAGUGCGAAUGCUGACAUGAGUAACGAUAAACAGUGUGAGAAACACUGUCGCCGAAAAUCCAAGGGUUCCUGCGUAAAGCUAAUCUGCGCAGGGUUAGUCGGCCCCUAAGGCGAGGCAGAAAUGCGUAGUCGAUGGGAAGCAGGUUAAUAUUCCUGCACCAGUGGGUAGUGACGGAUGUUGUAAGUUGUAUCUCCUUAUCGGAUUGGAGAUGCUGCGAAGACGUUCCAGGAAAUAGCUCCCACAUUAGACCGUACCCGAAACCGACACAGGUGGAUAGGUAGAGUAUACCAAGGCGCUUGAGAGAACUAUGCUGAAGGAACUCGGCAAAUUGCUCCCGUAAGUUCGCGAGAAGGGAGCCCCAUGCUUGCGCAAGCAGGUGUGGGGGGCACAGACCAGGGGGUGGCGACUGUUUAACAAAAACACAGGGCUCUGCGAAGUCGCAAGACGACGUAUAGGGUCUGACGCCUGCCCGGUGCCGGAAGGUUAAAAGGAGAGGUGAGAGCUUUGAAUUGAAGCCCCGGUAAACGGCGGCCGUAACUAUAACGGUCCUAAGGUAGCGAAAUUCCUUGUCGGGUAAGUUCCGACCUGCACGAAUGGCGUAACGACUUCCCCACUGUCUCCAGCAUAGACUCAGUGAAAUUGAAUUCCCCGUGAAGAUGCGGGGUUCCUGCGGUCAGACGGAAAGACCCCGUGCACCUUUACUACAACUUCACACUGGCAUUCGUGUCGGCAUGUGUAGGAUAGGUGGUAGGCUUUGAAGCGUUGGCGCCAGCUGAUGUGGAGCCGCAAGAUGAAAUACCACCCUUAUCUACAUGGAUGUCUAACCGCGGUCCGUUAUCCGGAUCCGGGACAGUGUGUGGUGGGUAGUUUGACUGGGGCGGUCGCCUCCCAAAGAGUAACGGAGGCGCGCGAUGGUGGGCUCAGAGCGGUCGGAAAUCGCUCGUUGAGUGCAAUGGCAUAAGCCUGCCUGACUGCGAGACAUACAUGUCGAGCAGAGACGAAAGUCGGUCAUAGUGAUCCGGUGGUCCCACGUGAGGAGGGCCAUCGCUCAACGGAUAAAAGGUACGCCGGGGAUAACAGGCUGAUGACCCCCAAGAGUCCAUAUCGACGGGGUUGUUUGGCACCUCGAUGUCGGCUCAUCGCAUCCUGGGGCUGGAGCAGGUCCCAAGGGUUUGGCUGUUCGCCAAUUAAAGCGGUACGUGAGCUGGGUUCAGAACGUCGUGAGACAGUUCGGUCCCUAUCUGCCGUGGGUGUAGGAAAAUUGAGAGGAUCUGCCCUUAGUACGAGAGGACCGGGGUGGACGUACCUCUGGUGGACCUGUUGUUGCGCCAGCAGCAUUGCAGGGUAGCUAUGUACGGAAGGGAUAACCGCUGAAGGCAUCUAAGCGGGAAACCCACCUCGAAACCAGUUUUCCCUUGAGAGCCGUUGUAGACUACGACGUUGAUAGGUUGGGUGUGGAAGUGCAGCAAUGCAUGAAGCUUACCAAUACUAAUCGCUCGAUAGGCUUGAUUAU
rnacentral:rRNA from 1 species